GUUUGGAUAGUUCAGUUAGUUAGAGUGUGAUGUUGAUGAUGCCAAGGUUGCAGGUUCAAUCCCCGUAUAGGACA